rnacentral:rRNA from 1 species
GACGAACGCUGGCGGCGUGCUUAACACAUGCAAGUCGAACGGAAAUGCCCUGCUUUUGUGGGGUGCUCGAGUGGCGAAAGGGUGAGUAACACGUGAGUAACCUGCCCUUGACUUUGGGAUAACUUCAGGAAACUGGGGCUAAUACCGGAUAGGAGCUCCUGCUGCAUGGUGGGGGUUGGAAAGUUUCGGCGGUUGGGGAUGGACUCGCGGCUUAUCAGCUUGUUGGUGGGGUAGUGGCUUACCAAGGCUUUGACGGGUAGCCGGCCUGAGAGGGUGACCGGCCACAUUGGGACUGAGAUACGGACCAGACUCCUACGGGAGGCAGCAGUGGGGAAUAUUGCACAAUGGGCGGAAGCCUGAUGCAGAAACGCCGCGUGCGGGAUGACGGCCUUCGGGUUGUAAACCGCUUUCGCCUGUGACGAAGCGUGAGUGACGGUAAUGGGUAAAGAAGCACCGGCUAACUACGUG